GCGGAUAUGGCGGAAUAGGCAGACGCACCAGACUCAAAAUCUGGCGGUGGUGACAUCGUAUCGGUUCGACUCCGAUUAUCCGCA
rnacentral:tRNA from 1 species